rnacentral:rRNA from 1 species
CUACGGGAGGCAGCAGUGGGGAAUAUUGGACAAUGGGGGAAACCCUGAUCCAGCCAUGCCGCGUGAAUGAUGAAGGCCUUCGGGUUGUAAAGUUCUUUUGGUGGGGACGAUGAUGACGGUACCCACAGAAUAAGCUCCGGCUAACUUCGUGCCAGCAGCCGCGGUAAUACGAAGGGGGCUAGCGUUGUUCGGAAUUACUGGGCGUAAAGGGCGCGUAGGCGGUUUAACAAGUUGGGUGUGAAAGCCCAGGGCUCAACCCUGGAACGGCACCCAAGACUGUUUUACUUGAAUUCGGUAGAGGAUGGUGGAAUUCCCAGUGUAGAGGUGAAAUUCGUAGAGAUUGGGAAGAACACCCGUGGCGAAGGCGGCCACCUGGACCGACAUUGACGCUGAGGCGCGAAGGCGUGGGGAGCAAACAGGCUUAGAUACCCCGGUAGUCCA